ACCUUGCUGGCUCAGUCGGUAGAGCGUGCAACUCUUGAUCUCAGGGUUGUGAGUUCAAGCCCCGUGUUGGGUG
rnacentral:tRNA from 1 species